AUCGUGGCAAUAUUGUCCACAAAAACUAACAAAAUGUACAUACGUCUCUAUUCAAUAUUGCCUAAUCUAGUAAUGCAACUUCAUCUUCUUUUCCGCCUCUUCUGCCCGACUCUUUGGUUUUAAGAACGAUUGUUUUUAAGAAUGAGUAUGACUAUUGACUAUAGAUAUAUGUAGGCAAAUUUACUCUGAACCACCCAUAUUUUGCAAAAUCUUUCAAGUUUAAAUCUUGAAUCCGGCAUCAUGGGGAGUAGCAACACUAGUGAGCCCCUGCUUGAUAAUCAUGAUGAACUGGAUAGAAAAGAAACACCUAAUGGGAACGACGAUGAUGUUGGAUUUUUUAAAGAAUUUGGUCCAGAAUCGAAGAGGCUAUGGGAGCUAGCUGGUCCUGCCAUUUUCACUUCAAUAUGCCAGUAUUCACUUGGUGCACUCACUCAGACUUUUUCUGGUCAAGUUGGCGAACUUGAGCUUGCUGCUGUCUCUAUUGAAAAUUCUGUUAUUUCCGGCCUUGCUUUUGGUGUCAUGCUGGGAAUGGGAAGUGCACUGGAGACAUUAUGUGGGCAAGCAUUUGGUGCAGGACAAAUAAGGUUGCUUGGAAUAUACAUGCAAAGAUCUUGGGUCAUUUUGCUCACCGCUGCUUGUGUUUUGGUUCCUAUUUAUGUCUUUUCCCCUUCAAUUCUCCUUUUUGCCGGUCAAACCACUCGCAUCUCUAAUGCUGCUGGAAAAUUUGCGUUAUGGAUGAUACCGCAGUUGUUUGCUUAUGCAAUGAACUUUCCAAUCCAGAAAUUCUUACAAGCUCAGAGGAAAGUCUUAGUGAUGGCAUGGAUAUCUGCUGGAGUUCUGGUGCUUCAUGUCCUUUUUAGCUGGUUGUUCAUACUGAAAUUUAAAUGGGGCUUAGUUGGAGCAGCUGUAACUCUCAAUACCUCAUGGUGGCUCAUAGUAAUUUUGCAGCUCAUCUACAUCUUUGUCACCAAAUCCGAUGGAGCUUGGACUGGCUUCUCAUGCUUGGCAUUUCAAGACUUGUUUGGCUUUGUCAAGCUCUCUUUGGCCUCUGCUGUUAUGUUAUGCUUGGAGUUCUGGUAUUUGAUGAUAUUGAUCAUAAUCACAGGUCUUUUGCCAAAUCCAUUGGUGCCAGUUGAUGCCAUGUCUAUCUGCAUGAACAUAGAUGGAUGGCAGGCGAUGAUUUCCAUAGGAUUUAAUGCUGCUAUUAGCGUGAGAGUAUCUAAUGAACUUGGGGCUGGCAAUGCACGUCUGGCAAAAUUUUCUGUAAUUGUAGUCUCCUUAACAUCAACUGCUAUAGGAGCAGCUUGCCUGAUUGUCGUGCUUGCAACACGAGAAUAUUUUCCGUACCUCUUCACCAACAGUGACGCAGUUGCUAAUGAGACGAAGAAACUGGCAAUAAUGCUCGCAUGGACAGUUCUAUUAAACAGCCUUCAGCCUGUCUUAUCUGGUGUUGCUGUUGGAGCUGGAUGGCAGGCUCUUGUAGCAUACAUUAACAUUGCAUGCUACUAUAUUGUUGGUUUGCCUGCUGGAGUACUUUUGGGCUUCAAAUUGGAUUUGGGAGCUAUGGGAAUAUGGGGUGGGAUGAUCGGAGGUGUCUGUUUGCAGACCAUUAUCUUAAUAGCUAUUACAACAAUGACAAACUGGGAAAAGGAGCUAGUGAAUCGCGUAGCAGCUAAAAGGAACUAGUGUUUGAAAGGAUAAAGGCUUCAAUGUAGCGGGUUGAAUUAUUUGAGGCUGAAAUUACUAUUGUAGCUAAUAAAUCAUUAAGGAUCAAACCCUCUGGAUAGCAGACGUCCACGUUAGGUUUUAUUGUCGUUUCAGCUGAUAUUUUGGUGAGCUCCAACUCUCUCUGGAGCCAGUCUAUGCCUAGUAUAGUAUUGAUUAUAGGUACACGUCUUUAGUUGGGCAUGACGGUCUUAAUGCCAACUAGUCAUUUGUAGUAUAGUGUGUUAAACUGACUAAAGGCUUCAUAGAUAUCGUCUAGUAUUGUAUAGUUUUGUUAACUCCCUCGUGUACAUAUGCAAUGCUUAUCGAGCAUCCUACUCGUUAUUAUUUUAUAACCUUGUAUACAUCAUAAUGUUUGUAGAGUAAGUGUAUAUGGUUCUUGUCCGUCAUUAUUGUUUGGAGGCAUGACACAUUUAUCACAUUCAUUUAUCUUGAA